AAAGAGUAAAAAGGCAUAAGCAUCUGUAGCCGCGACAGGGUGCCGCGACAGAGCUAGAGAGAGAGAUAGCGAUGGGAGUGGAGAAGCAAGUCAUCAGACCCGGCACCGGACCCAAACCCACUCCGGGUCAAACAGUCACCGUCCACUGUACCGGAUUCGGGAAAGGUGGUGAUCUAUCCCAGCAGUUCUGGAGGAUGGGAUGAAGGCGUUAUGGGGAUGCAAAUUGGAGAGGUUGCUCGCUUGCGGUGCUCACCGGAUUACGCGUAUGGUGCUGGUGGAUUUCCAGCAUGGGGAAUCCAACCUAACUCGGUUCUUGACUUUGAAAUCGAAGUACUCAGCGUGAAGUGAUGAUGAUGAUCUCUCUAGCUCAAAAAAAAAAAACAGUUGGAAUGUUAUUGAUCUAUAAAAAAAAGCACAGCAAAACUUGAAUGCUAAGUUAUUAAGCUUCUAGCCUUUUGUCUUCAUUGCUUCUGGGAAACAAAACUUUGUGAUUGUCACACUUCUCAAUGUUAUUCUAAAUCUCCAUCCACAACAUUUUUAUCAUAAAUAGUAGACCCGUCUCUUGUUUCAA